rnacentral:rRNA from 1 species
CGGACGGGUGAGUAACGCGUGGGUAACCUGCCUCAUACAGGGGGAUAACAGUUAGAAAUGACUGCUAAUACCGCAUAAGACCACAGGAUUGCAUGAUCCGGUGGUAAAAACUCCGGUGGUAUGAGAUGGACCCGCGUCUGAUUAGGUAGUUGGUGGGGUAACGGCUCACCAAGCCGACGAUCAGUAGCCGACCUGAGAGGGUGACCGGCCACAUUGGGACUGAGACACGGCCCAAACUCCUACGGGAGGCAGCAUG